rnacentral:piRNA from 1 species
UUGAAGUAAAUAUCAUUACAUCUGUCAGGG